UACGUAGGGUGCAGGCGUUAAUCGGAAUUACUGGGCGUAAAGCGUGCGCAGGCGGUUUCUUAAGUCAGAUGUGAAAGCCCCGGGCUUAACCUGGGAACUGCGUUUGAAACUGGGAGACUUGAGUGUGGCAGAGGGGGGUGGAAUUCCACGUGUAGCAGUGAAAUGCGUAGAUAUCGGGAGGAACACCAGUGGCGAAGGCGGCCUUCUGGCUCAUAACUGACGCUGUAGCGCGAAAGCGUGGGGAGCGAACCGG
rnacentral:rRNA from 1 species